GUACCUAUCUUCUUGGUGAGGGCACUUCACGGCGACCCACUGGCGUCUCUUUGUUCCUAUCAUGGAUGCCGACGUUCCUCUGGUCAUAAAUCAUCCAUGCAACCAGCAAGGAGAGAGAACCAAAUCUUGAGAACUUGAGACUUCCCAUCAAUUUCUUCCUUUUUCGAUGACUUCGAUCAUUAAUUCACAUUCUUAAGUGUAUGGUGGAGAGUUUUGGAGUUCGACCUCAGCAUUAAAUCUUUCCAAAGAGCCUAUUUGUGCCACUUCAGGAUUAACUCAAAGUGUACUUCGAAUUGGAGAGUUUGAGGAGAAGGGGGCAAGGAAAGGAAUUGUCCCAGCUACUAUGUUCUUUGUCAAAGGAACUCCAUCUGUUUUGAGCUUGAUUGUUUGGCAUCCAGAUUGGACAAGAGGGUGUGAAACUUGGAAUUAAGUUCUCUGCUUAUGAGAAUAAUUAAGGAAUAGAGUAGCUACUGUUGGCGUUAGUCAAAGUGCAUGAAGCUACUACGCCAGAUUCUUCAAGUUUAGAAGUAGAGUUACCCAGAACUAGAAGAUGGUGGUGUUGGCCAAAAAGCAAAUAGAAAAGAAAGCGGCGAUAUUCCAGGGCAUAGUGACUUCCUUGGGUUUCGAUCCCCUAAACCUCCGGAGGGGCUAUAUAGACUGGAGGACGUCUAACAUCCUUUGAGGUGUGGCAUCGCUCCUAGGCGGUAUGGCAUAAAUGAACACUCUCGCUACACCUUGCCGAUGUGUACGAUAAUAAUCGUGGUAAGGUUGUAGUUGGCUUGAGAUAGAUCGGUCAUCAGGUUUGUAUUUCUACCUUGGGCCCUACCUGCAUGUUUUUACAAGGAAUGUUUAUUUUAAACUGUUAUGCAUUAUUUUCACUACUAGCCAUGGCAAAUGUUUUAAAUUGUUUUCACACCUAGUUGGGGUAAAGUUUAUUGAGCAGCGAGGACGAAAACUCACCCCUACAACAGUUUGUGGAUGCAAGUACUGUGUACGAAGACGGGACAGCUCGACAGCGUUAGGUUCUUAAAACUUGAGUGAAGGAUCCUAGCUUGGGUUCUAUGAAUGCGUGGCACUGUAAUGUGCUUGAUUUGAUGAGGUGCAAAUCGGGACGUUACACGUUUCGUCCAUAUGACUACGAAGUCUUAGGAGAAAUUCUCCAUCUAAUUAAAUACGAUAGCACAUUCAUUCAUGUACUUUGUCACGAUAUGCUCGACUCGACAUCUCAUACACUAUAAACUUGUAAGGCCAAGUUCUUCUUAGUCUUUCAACUCCAUUCGAUUCCUAGCGGUCGAGCAGCUUCACUCCCUCUUAGAUGAGUGUGAGGGAAAAUCAAGGUAGUGGUCGGAUGCGCCCACGCAACGUCAAUGUAAUGACAGUAAUUAUUUCUUUCAGUACUUAAUGGUAUGAAAUGUUUGGCUU